UGCCAUCAUAGUGGACAGAGGAUCCUUUUCUCUUCGGUUUCCCCUUUCCUCUUCUGUUGCCUCUUUCUGCCCGCUUGCUUCGUCCGUCUGCUGUCUUCCUCCCUGCCGCACUACUGCGCCCUCUCCUCGCCGGCUCGCUUCGCCCCCUUCGACCAUGCUGCACUGCGGGCUAUUGCGAUGGCCGUGCUUUGCUCCAUGGGUGCUGACGGUUGAGUUUCCUUGCCUUCGUCUUGUCUCUGGUGUAGGAGCUUGGGUCGUUCUGUCCUUGCCGUCGAGUGGCAUAUAUGAUAUCAAGCCUUCAGCAGAUGCACCAAACAAACUACAUUUUUCUGCAGGUUUUAGCAAUUUCGAAUGACACAAUGCCCAUUCUGCAAGUAUAAUUACCACACCCUCCUCUUACCCGUGCUACUGAUUACUAAUAUUUUUGCUGCUCUGGUGCUAUGCUAUUGAAUGUUCAAAUCAACUAGGACAAAAUUGUUGUGCUCUAUUCAUCCACACAAAUGACACUUGGCUCCUCAGGGGAUAUGAGGAGAAAGCUCUACUCUUUGCAGUGUUGGCAUAAUUUCUACAAGUGACAUGGUUGAUCUUUGCUAUGUUGAUCGAUGGCAUGAUAUGUACCUAAGGUUGGAGAUUCUUAAUUAGGUACUAAAAAGAUGACAGCUACUUCAUUUUCAGUACAGUAGUUUACUGAAUAUUUCUAAGGUUUGAAUUGCAUCUGCAUGAUCACAGUGACAAUAUAACUAAAACUGGAAGAAACAUCAGACUAAAUUCAAUCAGUUUUUUACCUUUUUUAGAAAGAUAAGAACAAUAUCCAGUAUGAUUCUCUUCACUGAGGAGCUCGAAGGCUGGUACUGCGGCUUGUUGUGCCAAUAUUUGAUAAUCUGCUGCUAGCUCCAGAGACGGCGCCAUUAGUAUGUGCAUUGGUGAUGCUCAGCACAAAGCUAUGUAUCCACCUCCUUUGCUCUAGACUACGUCUCUCCAGCCCUGAGCUAUCCUUAUUAUUUUAUUAGUUUGAUAUAAUAUCAUGAAGAAGGUGACGGUCCUGUUCUUGGUCCUGCACUGCACCACAGACCGGGUGACAGACCUGCUGACCCACUAAUCAAACCCUUGACACAACUGCUGUUUUGCUUCUCAUAUUUAUCUCAUAUUGAUACCUUUUUGUGAUUCACUUUUAUCCUCUCUAUUCUAACUCAUUAGCUUGCUCAAUGUUUUAGUUUGUUCAUGUAUUUGUGUUGCCUCAGAAAUUACGAGUUGCAAGUAUGAGUGGCAUCUUCAACCAUGCUAUUAUAUCUAUUACUUUUCUAAACUGAUGUGUUCCUGGAAUUACAUAUGAGAGUACAUGUAAUUGAGUUGUGC